rnacentral:lncRNA from 1 species
GCCUGAGGGUAGGCAGAUGGCUCUGCAGCUAAGGGCACCGGAGGACCGGAGUUCUGACCUCAGAAGUCAGGCAUGGCUACACAUACCUGAAAGCCCAGAACUGAGAGGAGCCUAACUAGAAUCUCUGAGGCUUGCUGGCUGCCAGAAUAGCAAUGAAACAAAACAAAACAAACAAAACAAACUAGGGUCAGUAAAAGAACCUAUGUCAAAUGAACAAAAUAUAGUGAGGUAAAGAUAGCAGAUACCCAGCAUCCUUCUCUGGCCUCUGCUCCCGCCAGUGCGCAGAGGCCCCACACCUACAUACGACUCAUACACAUAGACACAAAGAUGCAUGCCCCCCACACACACCUACAUAUGCCUCAUACACAUAGACACAGACACAUGCCCCCCACACACACCUACAUACGCCUCAUACACAUAGACACAAAGACACAUGUCCCACACACACCUACAUACGCCUCAUACACAUAGACACAAAGACACAUGCCCCCCACACACACCUACAUACGCCUCAUACACAUAGACACAAAGACGCAUGCCCCACACACACACCUACAUACGCCUCAUACACAUAGACACAAAGACGCAUGCCCCACACACACACCUACAUACGCCUCAUACACAUAGACACAAAGACGCAUGCCCCACACAUCAUACACAUAGACACAAAGACACAUGCCCCCCACACACCUACAUAUGUCUCAUACACAUAGACACAAAGACACAUGCCCCCCACACACACCUACAUAUGUCUCAUACACAUAAACACAAAGACACAUGCCCACACAUACACACCUACAUAUGUCUCAUACACAUAGACACAAAGAUGCAUGCCCCCCACACACACCUACAUACACCUCAUACACAUAGACACAAAGACACAUGCCUCCCCACACCCACAGAGGCCCCCACACCUACAUACACCUCACCACAUAUGCCUCAUACACAUAGACACAAAGACACAUGCCACCCCCCACACAGAGGCCCCCAUACCUACAUACACCUCAUACACAUAUACACAAAGACACAUGCCCCCCCCCACACACACACAGACACUCACUAAUUAGCCCAAGAACGCCCAGGCUGUCCGUACAGAGAAGGUGCAGGCCUUUUGCCUGUGAGCUUUGGCUUUCCGGAUACCAACUACUAUCCAUGCUACCCUGGAAGAUGAAGGGACACAAUGAGCUCCCCAUGAAUAUAGAAGAAGGGGGAGCCCUCCCUCUCCUACUCCACUCUUCUGCCCCUCACUUGAGACGCCCAGCAAAGUCUAAGAUCUUGGAUCUCUUCCAUCAUCGGCUGAGGAUGAAAGGGAUACAUAGAAAUGAUAGGGAAUGGCAACAUGUCCCUGUGACCUCGGCCACUGCUAUCACAGGCCUCCCCUGAACCCCACUCAUUAUCCCGCUGAUCCUUCUGAAUGCUCUUUGUUUACUUUUAGUCUCGAUGUCACCCAGAGGUAUCAGAUCACAGCAAAGCCUGGGAGAAAAUGCUGGACUUGCUCAGCCAGGUUUGCCCUUUCUGCUUUCAAAUUGCUUGUACAUUCACUGCAUUUUUGCCUUUGGUUAUUCUGUCAGAUUCGGCAGGGAACCAUCAGUAUACCUCACAGUUUUUACCAUCACUCAUACUGUUAAAAUGUUGAACAAUUCCUCCCUGGCCUAACUAAACCCAGAGAGUGCCCAGGCUUACAUUCAUGUUCUCUUCUC